rnacentral:rRNA from 1 species
GACGAACGCUGGCGGCGUGCCUAAUACAUGCAAGUAGAACGCUGAAGGAGGAGCUUGCUUCUCUGGAUGAGUUGCGAACGGGUGAGUAACGCGUAGGUAACCUGCCUGGUAGCGGGGGAUAACUAUUGGAAACGAUAGCUAAUACCGCAUAAUAGUAGAUGUUGCAUGACAUUUGCUUAAAAGGUGCAAUUGCAUCACUACCAGAUGGACCUGCGUUGUAUUAGCUAGUUGGUGGGGUAACGGCUCACCAAGGCGACGAUACAUAGCCGACCUGAGAGGGUGAUCGGCCACACUGGGACUGAGACACGGCCCAGACUCCUACGGGAGGCAGCAGUAGGGAAUCUUCGGCAAUGGACGGAAGUCUGACCGAGCAACGCCGCGUGAGUGAAGAAGGGUUUCGGAUCGUAAAGCUCUGUUGUAAGAGAAGAAAGGGUGUGAGAGUGGAAAGGUCACACUGUGACGGUAGCUGAACAGAAAGGGACGGCUAACUACGUG